UACGGAGGGUGCGAGCGUUGUCCGGAAUCACUGGGCGUAAAGGGCGCGUAGGCGGCCCGGCAAGUCAGUGGCUGAAAGCCCGAAGGCUCAAACUUCGGGGUCGGCCCACUGAUACUGCUAGGCUUGGAGUCGACUAGAGGCAGAUGGAAUUCCGGGUGUAGCGGUGGAAUGCGCAGAUAUCAGGAGGAACACCGAUGGCGAAGGCAGGUCACUGGGCCGCAACUGACGCUGAGGAGCGAAAGCAUGGGGAGCGAACAGG
rnacentral:rRNA from 1 species